UUCAUUGGGGAAGGUCUGUCUCCAGAGCAGGAGACUAGCACCUGGGACAGUGCAGUGCUGGGCAGGCUCCGGGGAGCAGAAGGGAACUCCAGCCCACUACCUGCCAGGCUGCAGACCCUGAGGGAAGAGCCUAGCCGGUGCAAAGGGGGCCAAAGGGGAAGUGGCCCAGGGACAGCUGGACAAAGAGAGAGAAGGAGGGCAGGGAAGCUUCCACUAAAGGAUUGGGACCCAGAGUAGUGGGAGGGCCUGCCCCCCCCCCUUCCCCCUUGUACUGCACCUGGCCAUGAAGUAGGGUGGCUGAAACAAUCCAAAUAAACUGCAACUGGCCCUUGAAACAAGGGGAUAGACUUUGGAGGCUGUGGUUGGCCACUGAGGCCAGUGCAAGGACUGUUGCUAAGCCGCCCCCCCCCCCGAAGGGGGUGAGGAAGGAUUAGGGGGCACUGCCAGAGGGCAGUGUCCUGAAGAGGAAGCCACCAAGGGGGGAGCAAUGCGGGUCCAGACACCAGUGAGGAACAGAUGACGGAUGGGACAGCACCAGCAGAGGGUGCUCCCCAUGGACUGAGCUAAUUCCUGGACGUAACCAGCAGGAGGCGCCACAGUGAUCACUUCCUGGUGGAAGCCAGGAGAUGCUUUGAAAGCUGAUAUCUACCUGGUAAAGCAGUGGACAAAGAGCUGAUGCGACAUUGCCAGAGUUCCUCACAAUUCCUCAAGGAACCAGAUUCCUCUCUUGAUGAGAUCCACGCUGAUGGCUGUGCAGAGUAACAUAGCUUGAGAAAGUGGCAAUACGAGCUCUCAAGUCUUACUAUAAAGCAGUUUCUUGCCUGCUUUAAUACGCGGAAGAGGAACUUUUUCAUCAUCACCAUCAUGCAUCCACACAUCCUAUGUCAUAAACAUGGAAGCAUUUUUAGCCUUAAGAUGACAUUCAAGAGAGAGCCAAAUGCUGAUUUUAACUAUGAAUUCUCUUCCAGUUAUAAUUCAUAGCUUCUUCCUUUUUGUUAAUCAGUGACUGUUUUAUGUAUUAAAUAAUUAGUCUGUUUGAGGCCUUUUCUUUAUAUUGCAAAAAUAAUCAGGAAUUCUAGCUAGCAUUUUUAAAUAUAUUUUAAAAAUAAUCUCCGGUGGUAUUGUAGCUAUUGUCCCUUUACCAAAAAUAAAAGUAGAGAACUUCCAGGUUAUAAUUCUUUUCUUUGUUGAAAAGAAAUACUACGGAUAAAAUUGGGGCUUGUAAACCGUGACCCAUGUCCUUUUGAUUUGUAUUGCACGUACAAAGGAGUUAACAAAAACUGCAGAUAAAUUUUAGAAGAAAAAGUGAAAACUGUGGAGGAGGCUGCUAAGCCAUAGUUCUUAAUGUUGCAGUAAAUUGUACCUCACAUUGCUACUGUAGAUUAUUCCAUUCAUGCUUUCUAAAAAGCAAUUAGCAUAAGAACUAAAAAUACUGGAGCAAUAAUGAUAAUAUUUAAAACCCACCCAGGCCACUGAAAAGUUUUAAUUAAUUCUUGAUAUUCAUCAGGCUUAUCGCUAAUUAAUAUUAUGCUUGGAAACUAAAUUUCUAUGAAGCGAUUCAAUUUCAGCAUCAGUUGACAAAUGGUUAUUUUAUAGUCUAAUGCAGAGGCUAGUGUUCUUGCUUCAUGUGUUAGCUACCUUUCUCUCACACAACUGGCUGGAUGGCAUUCAAUCAGAUUAAUGAAAUUGCUGAAUUACAAGAGCGACAUAUUUCAGCCAAAUGAAUCAGUUGCAAUUAAGUACUGCUAUGGCAUCUAGCUUUGAGCCAAUCUGGUAUUCACUCACCAUCUCGGAACAAGGCACCUAUCAGUUAAUAGCCCAGCAUCUAAGUGCAAUAACUCUCCAUUUAUUAUUUAGUGUUAUCUUCUAUGCUACUAUUAGUCCUAUGUAAAAGGAUAAGGUUACAUGUGGGGAGGAGAAUGCUAUUUUGAAGGUUAGAAUAUUCUCCCCUUUAUAAGAGGGGAAGAAAGUGCCCUAUUGGUACAGUAUUCAACAUUCCUCUCACAGCUGAGAAAACACUGCUACAACUUCAGAAAUAAGAUAACACUGUAACAGUAAAUACACUCAAAGGAGAAAAUUGUUAAAUCAAAAGGCUGGUCAUUGCAUUACUUUUAACUGAGGUUUGGGAAAUUUGUUACAACAGUUGGAACAGUGCUGCAUGCUCCAAUGGGGUGAGAGAUACUUUAGCUUCACUAGUGACUGAAAACUCCAGCAAUUGUGACAUUAUUGAUAUGUGGAAACCAUACUAAAGAGUGUAAUACACAGCUAAGACAACACAACAGGCUAUUUCCAAUCAGUUUUUUUUCUACAACACAUUCAAGCACUAAAUACUGAACAGCUGCUGGCUAAAUUUACCAAGCUACAUUUUAUUCUUUUCUCUACCUGUCGAAAAAAG